GCCAUCCCGCAGCGGAGACUGAACCGGAAGUGGGACCGGAACUGGGCCCGGACCGGGCCGGCCUCUUGUGAUCCGGAGCUUUCUGAGAACAACAACAACAGCAGCAGGAAGAGGAUGGCUGUCUCCAUAAAGGAGCUGGACGGACAGAAGAUCGGGAGCGUGGAGAGCAGAGACACAGUCUGCGGUCGCAAUAAAAGUGAUUAACAAAUAUC